CAUGAAGUAUAGGAGAUGCUGGCAGGUAAGAAAUGAAGCCCUGAUAUUCCACUUCCUUGGAGAUGUAUUUGUCUCCAAGAUGGUCCAUUCAUUUUUGUGAACACAUCUGACUUUGUUGGACACAUAAAAGCAACUGAAAUUUUUCUAUGUUUUAAUUGGUUCUUUCUAGUUAUACAUGAUAAUACAAUUCAUUCUGGCAUACUUAUAAAAGCAUGGAACAUAAUUUGUCCUGGUUCAGUCCUCAGUACUUCCCUUUUCCCUCUCCUCCUCCCUCCCUCUGUUCUCCUCCCUCUACUCUACUGAUCUUUCUGCUAUUUACUUAUAUAUAUAUUUAAACUCAGUGUCUUUUGAAUAUACUUGAUGUUGAUAUUCAAUGAAAUAUAUUUAUAUAUGUGCAUAGGAAAGUUAGGUCAGACACUUCUCAAAACAAGAAAUACAAAUAUAUGAAGUUGAUCUAUUUAAUUUUCCAAACAGUUUUGCUAUAUUUGAUUUAAUGAAACAUUAUUCAUAUUCUGAUGUUGCAUGUAGAAGAAGACAGGAACCCAAAUCUCUCAGUGUGAAGGAUAGAGCCAGUUUUAAUUUCAUGUUUGCAAAACCACCCCACACGUAUGAGAUGUUCUUGAAGGUGGGGCAGGAAUGACAGACCACUUAAACAAAGGCAGGCCGGUUCAAUGUGUGGCUGUUCUUGUUGUCAUUUUUUAAUUUGGUUUAUUUCA
rnacentral:lncRNA from 1 species